rnacentral:rRNA from 1 species
GAUGAACGCUGGCGGUAUGCUUAACACAUGCAAGCCGAACGGACUCUUCGGAGUUAGUGGCGGACGGGUGAGUGACGCGUGAGAAUCUGGCUUUGGGUUCGGGACAACCACUGGAAACGGUGGCUAAUACCGGAUGUGCCGAGAGGUAAAAGAGAAAUUGCCUGAAGAUGAGCUCGCGUCUGAUUAGCUAGUUGGUGAGGUAAAGGCUCACCAAGGCAGCGAUCAGUAGCUGGUCUGAGAGGAUGACCAGCCACACUGGGACUGAGACACGGCCCAGACUCCUACGGGAGGCAGCAGUGGGGAAUUUUCCGCAAUGGGCGAAAGCCUGACGGAGCAAUACCGCGUGAGGGAAGAAGGCUCUUGGGUUGUAAACCUCUUUUCUUAGGGAAGAACAAAAUGACGGUACCUAAGGAAUCAGCAUCGGCUAACUCCGUG